GCUAAUCGUCACCACCGCAAACGUUUCGACGGGCGGUAUCGAUGGACGACAUGGCCACCGGUUACUACCACUCACCCCCGGACGCCGCCCACAACCCCUACCACCCUCCGCCGCCGAUCCACGCGGCGGGGCCUCCCGGAGCUCCUCCGCCGCCGCACAAUCACCCGAUGCUGCCGCACCAGCACCACUUUCACCCACCGUACCCCGCCCACCAGCCGCCACUUUACGGCACCACCUACGACACGCCCACCGACCAGUACUCGCGCGACGAGGUCCGGACCUUAUUCAUCGCCGGGUUCCCCGACGACGUGAAGCCCCGCGAGAUCUAUAACCUCUUUCGCGAGUUUCCUGGGUACCAGUCCGCCCAGCUCAGGAGCUCCGGUCAGUCCUCUCAGGCAUAUGCAUUUGCUGUCUUUACUGAUCAACAAUCAGCUCUUGCUGCAAUGCAUGCUCUAAAUGGACUGAUGUUUGACCUUGAGAGGGAAUCAACUCUAUACAUUGACCUUGCAAAGUCUAACUCCAGGUCAAAACGUUCAAGAACAGAUGAUGGUGUACCUUAUUCUUCUGAUAAACGAGUUAGAGGACCUGGUGCAUAUUUAAGAGGCUUUCCUGAUUCUGCAGGUUCUGGAAGCAACAUUCACAUGUCUGGAAUGGUUAAUUCUGCUUACAGCUUGAGUGGUUAUCCCUCUACACAAAGCCAGACAAAUUUUGGUUAUGAAGCAGACCAUAAUAAGUUGAAUAAUUCAUCAACUUAUGCUCCUCUAAGUAACCCCCCAUGUCCAACGCUUUUUGUGGCAAAUCUGGGUCCCAACUGUUCUGAGCAAGAGUUGGCUCAAGUUUUUUCAAGAUGUCCUGGGUUUAUAAAACUGAAAAUGCAAAACAAGAACGGACUUCCUGUUGCAUUUGUUGAUUUCCAGGAUGUCAAUAGUUCCACUGGAGCCCUAAAUCAUUUGCAGGGAACCAUCUUGUAUUCAUCAGUUGGGGAGGGCAUGCGCUUGGAGUAUGCAAAAUCACGAAUGGGUCUCCGAAAACGUGAAAAGAGGACAUAGUUUCCAUUUAAAUUUGGAAAAGCAUUUGAAGAUUCUGCGUCCCUUUUUAUUCAUGUCAAGCUGGAUCCACAUGAAUACAAACAAAUGUGGUUUGUAGGCACAUGGUAAGACAGUCAAAAGGGACAGAUACAAUCAAUGUACCCAUCCAUAUGCACAUCACAUGGUUUUGGAUGAGACAACUAUAUUGCAAGCAUUAGGUUCGAUCCAAGCAAUCAUGUCAAGUGCCCAUCCCAUUCUUUGUCUCUGCAGCCAGGCAUCAUGUGUUUGUGUUCUACCCAUUACCUUCCCCAAAGGCAACAAUCUGUCUGAUGCUUACACAUACUCUUAUUCUAUCUCAGUAAACUAUUUACUUUGUUAUUGUAUCCAUCGAGGAAGCUAUAAAUAUCAAAACAAAAUUUAUCUGUCA